ACACGAAUAUUUGGGGAAGAGCAAAUAAAUUGAAAGUGAAAUGCUCGAGGUAUCGUAUCUCAAUACAAAUUCAAAACGCUUUCACUCCAUCUUCAUUUUCAUCAUGUUCAGAAACAACACAUACAACGACGGCGCUUCAUCUUCUCUCUCGGUCAAGUUCUCCGCCGUCCCAACCUCGCGUCUGUUUCAAACACGAAGGCCGAAGAACUCAUACGAGUUCUCUUCUCCGGCGAACUCUCGGUUCUUACCAAUGGUAUUGAAGUGAAGCUGCAUAGGAAUCCUCUUAGUGUUAUUGAACCACCAACUGGAUGAGGUAGAUGAUGAUCUUUAAUUUUAGAAUACUCAGUGGCAUGGAUCAGAUAUGGAGGAUUGAUUUGAGCAAAUUGGAAAUGGCUGCAUUGUGGAUGUUGUAGGUGGGUGUUAUUCCAAACCCGUGUAAGGAGCAGCAGGUGGAUGUAUCUUGGAAAUCAAUUGAAUGGUGAGAUUAGUUGAUGAAGGAUUGCAGGAAAGAUUUAAGGCAACUUAUCUGGAUGUGGCUAUGUAGCCAACAUCACCUCCCCGAACUGCUGCUAUCGAGAUAGACUCAAGUUUUGCUGCUCAAACAAGCAGAGCUUGCAGCCCCAGCCGCUAUCUCUGCUUUAGUGAAGAAGGAAGUGGCCAUUGAUGUGGACACUAACUAAGUUUCUACCAUUUUAAGUUUAUGCUUUUGUGGUAUACCCAACUUUUGCUGAGCAUGGUAAUGUAAAUUUAAUUAAU